rnacentral:sRNA from 1 species
GCACGGUAGAGGUGAUCCAGCACCAUUUAGAACAGAAAUAAGUUGGCCUGAAAUAAGAUGAAGUACAAAAAUACGAAGGUUAGUUGAAAGUAUGAUAUAUUCUAGAUUAAAACACAGGUGCCCCUACACCCUCCUCCAC